GGAUCACGCGGUCAAGAGAUGGAGACCAUCCUGGCCAACACGUUUAUGUCUUCAAAAGGUAUUCUGCAGUGAAGUGGAAGGAACCCUGAACUUUGGUUACAUACGAACCAGAAUCCAGAAUUAAAGCUGAUGAGCUUCAGCAAUACCCGAGGUAUGAAGUUCUGACUUGCAGGUAAGAGAGAGAGAAUGAAUGACCACUGAAUGACCACUGAAAUUGAAAAAAAAAUAUUCAAAUGCCUUAAAAAACAGAGAAGGAAAGAAGACUCAUAUAACCACUUUUUUGUUUGUUUGUUUUUUGUUUUUUGUUCAAGAGAACAGCCCAGGAAAGUUACCCGGUACUGAACCACACAUUUGGUUAUUUCCUCAUCACUGAAUCAUUCACAAGUUCACCAUAUUUUAAAGCUAAAAGAUACCUCAGAGAGAAUGUAAUCUAGCUUUCUCAUUUUAUAGAUGAGAAAAUUGAGAAAUAGAGAAGUGAUUAAGAUUAUACAACUUGUUAUUAUAAGGUCUAUUUCUUUUCAUUAAACUUUUUUUUCACUUUUAUUGUCAAAUUUGUUUUUACUUUUAAUUAAAAGUGAUAAUUUGUAUUCAUUUUAAUGGGACACUGGGCAAGCAAGUUUAGACUGAUUUCUUUUGAAAAUAUUCAUAUUGUUUUCAACUUUAGGGAUAUGCUUAAAAUAAAGAUUUUCAGCCUUUUUUGAAAUUUUGAAAAAUCUAUCUAAAAUGACCUAAAUAAUCAGAAUACAAAACAGCAUUAAAAUAACACUACUUGUAAGUAUAAUUGGAUGGAUUUUAACAAAGUAAAACUUUGACAAUAAUAUCAUAUUAACUAACUUGAAUAAAAACAUGUUUUAUGUUCUAUUGAAUAAAAGCAUGUUUUAUGUUCUAUUGAAAUAAGCCCUUUAAACUCAUUUAAAAUUCAGGUGAUUUUAUUUUUUGGCAGAAAAUCGAAAAGGGCUUAAGAAGUAACAUGUUCUUAUGUGACUGGACCCUGGAGACUGUUGGCCUUGUUUGUAAGCAUUCCGAGUCAUAAAAAUGACCUGAAAAUGGCCAAUCAUAAAAUCACAGCGAUUUCUUUGUUACUCAGGAAGUUAUAUUGAGGUAGUAAGUUUUAAUUCAUCCAUCAGAAUGAAGUUCAACUGUAAGUUAGUUUUUAUUACUCCUACCUCCCAUGUUAUAAUAAAUACUAAAAAAUAACUACGAUUAUGGACAUUCCCAUGUGCUAGGCCUAGUGCUAUAGAGAUGUUUCCACUCUCUGAAGUUAUCACCAAAGUCCCUUCCUUCAUAUGAAAUAUAUUCCAAGGUUAGCUAUAUUAUUUCCAGACUGGAGUAUUAUUUUACGAUCUUCAAAAUUGAUGCAAUAGAAGUAAUCAAAUUUCCAAAUGUUUAAUAAAACGUUAUAUUUAUUUUGCUAAUAAAUGAUAUCUGUAAUCCUUCCAACUAAAGAAAAAUUACAACUGAAUUUUGUGCUGAUGAACAAAGCCAUUACAUAACAAAAUUGUAGAUAUAUUUGUAUUAUAAUUAGCUGAACUAAAUUGAAGUUAUAGAUGUGAAUGGUUCCAUGUUACCCUGGAUGACUGACUUUAUUGACUAAAGGUUUUUACACAAGUGUCAAUUCAAACUUAAUUAUCAAUUACUUCAUGUAAAAUAUGCAAAACAUUACACAUAUAAAUUUAUUCUCUAAGUCAUAGUUAUUAUGGCACAAGUUCAUUAAAAAUUAUACAGAUUCAGGCACUUGUGAGAACAUGUCUAGUAGAGAGCCUUACACUGAUCAGACUACUCAAUCAAUGAAUGAAACAUUAGAAUUGAAAGAAAUAAAAUAUAGAAAAUAUAUUUCAAAUCUAAUUUUAAGACUAGGCUCUGAGAUUAAAUAAUUUACUUAAUUAAUGAUGAGACUGAUUAAAACCCAAAUGUUAAUUCAUAGUGGUCUUUUCAAUGCUGCCUCCAAAGUACCACAUAUUUGUUUAACACUUUAUAAGGUUCCUUCAAUUUGUAGAUAGAAAAAAGUUGAGUUGUGAAGAACUAUUGGGCAACUUAUCCAAAGUCUUAUUACAUGAAUGGCAUAACCAAAGUUAGAAGCCCAAUCUUCUCAUUCUAUCUCAGUAUUCUUUCCACUAUUAUUAUCUCUAGAUGGAAAUCAAUAAUUGUAUGCCCAUUAGAAAACAUGCUUUUGACUAUUACCCAAUAAUCUACCUAUAUCUUCUUCUAAAAAUCAUAUUUUGUUCUUAUAUUGAUACAAAAUGCUUAAAAUUCACCUUCUCUAGAAUCUUUUUCAAACUAUCCUAUCCUACUUCUCUCAGCAUCCACGUCCACGUUCAUUCACUAAAAUUAAUCCCAUUGAGUGCUUAUUGUGGCCAAGGCAAAGUACAUGCUACUGAGAGACUACAAAGAUGAAUAAUAUAGUCACCGUUCUCAAGAAGUGUAUAGUUUAAUAUAAAAGACAUAAAUAUUCCACAUAUAAAACAGAAUAUAUGUAUUUUAUGUGGUAAUGCCAUGGUUGGUUCAGAAGGUAUAUAUGUUUUCACCUAUCUGUUGUUUUCCAUAUUCUUUUACUUCAUAUAUAUAUAUAUAUAUAUAUAU
rnacentral:lncRNA from 1 species